rnacentral:rRNA from 1 species
GGGCUCACACAAGCGGUGGAGGAUGUGGCUUAAUUCGAGGCUACGCGAAGAACCUUAUCCUAGAUUUGACAUGCUUGAGAAUCCCUAUGAAAAUAGAGAGUGCCCUUCGGGGAGCUCUUGCACAGGUGCUGCAUGGCUGUCGUCAGCUCGUGUCGUGAGAUGUCGGGUUAAGUCCCUUAACGAGCGAAACCCUUAUCUCUAGUUGCCAGCGGGUAAUGCCGGGGACUCUAGAGAGACUGCCGGUGUCAAACCGGAGGAAGGUGGGGAUGACGUCAAGUCCUCAUGGCCUUUAUGUCUAGGGCUGCACACGUCCUACAAUGGUACGGACAAACGGACGCAAUACCGCGAGGUGGAGCAAAUCCUAGAAACCGUGCCUCAGUUCGGAUAGGAGUCUGCAACUCGACUCCUUGAAGUUGGAGUCGCUAGUAAUCGC